UUAAGCAAAGAAGAGCGCAGGGUGGAUGCCUUGGCACUAAGAGCCGAAGAAAGACGUGAUAAGCUGCGAAAAGCUGCGGGGAGAUGCAAAUAAUCCUUGAUCCGCAGAUGUCUGAAUGGGGAAACCCGGUACGAAGAACUCGUAUCAUCCAUACGCCAAUCCAUAACGUAUGGAGGGGAACCCGGUGAACUGAAACAUCUAAGUAGCCGGAGGAAGAGAAAGAAACAUCGAUUUUGUUAGUAGCGGCGAGCGAAAGCGAAAGAGGCCAAACCGGAGUGCGUGCACUCCGGGGUUCGGACCGCAUUUAAGAUUCAGUGAUUCUAGCAGAAAGGUUUGGGAAAGCCUGCCGGAGAGGGUGAAAGCCCCGUAAGCGAAAGGAAAGCUGACUGAGCGGGAUCCAGAGUACAUCGAGACACGAGAAACCUUGAUGGAAUGAGCGGGGACCACCCCGUAAGCCUAAAUACUACUUAGUGACCGAUAGCGCAUAGUACUGUGAAGGAAAGGUGAAAAGGACCCCGGGAGGGGAGUGAAAGAGAACCUGAAACCCUGUGUUUACAAGCUGUCGAAGCACGCAAGUGCGACGGCGUACUUUUUGUAGAACGGUCCGGCGAGUUAUGAUGAGUGGUAAGGUUAAGGACUUAAGGUCCGGAGCCGAAGCGAAAGCGAGUGUUAAAAGCACGGUUGAAUCGCUUAUCAUAGACCCGAAACCGGGUGAUCUAUCCAUGUCCAGGUUGAAGCUGCCGUAAGAGGUAGUGGAGGACCGAACACACAUCCGUUGAAAAGGGUGGUGAUGAGGUGUGGAUAGGGGAGAAAUUCCAAUCGAACCCGGAGAUAGCUGGUUCUCCUCGAAAUAGCUUUAGGGCUAGCCUCGAUUUAGUCUUAUGGAGGUAGAGCACUGAAUUUCCGCGGGGGCGUCAAAGCUUACCAAAGAAUAUCAAACUCCGAAUGCCAUGUAGAUGAUGAUCGGGAGUCAGACUGCACGAGAUAAGUUGGGCAGUCAAAAGGGAAAGAGCCCAGACCACCGGCUAAGGUCCCAAAGUGCGUGUUAAGUGGAAAAGGAUGUGGGAAUUCGAAGACAACUAGGAUGUUGGCUCAGAAGCAGCCAUACAUUCAAAGAGUGCGUAACAGCUCACUAGUCGAGAGUUCCUGCGCCGAAAAUGUCCGGGGCUGAAACACGACACCGAAGCCGUGGACUCGCAAUGCGAGUGGUAGAGGAGCAUUCUUAAAACCGACGAAGCUGUACCGAAAGGAGCAGUGGAGGGAUAAGAAGAGAGAAUGCCGGAAUGAGUAGCGAGAGAAAGGUGGGAAUCCUUUCGGCCGAAUAUCUAAGGUUUCCAGAGUAAAGCUGAUCUGCUCUGGGUAAGUCGGGGCCUAAGCACAGGUCGCAAGACGUAAGCGAUGGAUAACAGGUUUAGAUUCCUGUACCACGCAUUAUCAGAACUGUAGGGACGCAUGUGGAAAGCACGGGCCGGGAAUGGAAAAACCGGUACAAGCGAGGUAGGUGUACAAUAGGCAAAUCCGUUGUAUAAUCCGAAGACGUGAUGUGGAGCGAAAUAAAGUAGCAAAGCGUGUGAGCCAUGUGCCGAGAAAAGCUGCUAUUGUGUAAUGCGUGCCCGUACCGUAAACCGACACAGGUGGAUGAGGAGAGAAUCCUAAGGCCGACGGAAGAAGCAUUGUUAAGGAAUUCGGCAAAAUGACCCCGUAACUUCGGGAGAAGGGGUGCCUGCGAGAGCAGGCCGCAGAGAAUAGGCUCAAGCAACUGUUUAGCAAAAACACAGGUCUAUGCGAAACCGAAAGGUGAAGUAUAUGGGCUGACGCCUGCCCGGUGCUGGAAGGUUAAGAGGAGAGGUUAGCGCAAGCGAAGCUUUGAAUUUAAGCCCCAGUAAACGGCGGCCGUAACUAUAACGGUCCUAAGGUAGCGAAAUUCCUUGUCGGGUAAGUUCCG
rnacentral:rRNA from 1 species